UACGGAGGGAGCUAGCGUUGUUCGGAAUUACUGGGCGUAAAGCGCACGUAGGCGGCUAUUCAAGUCAGAGGUGAAAGCCCGGGGCUCAACCCCGGAACUGCUUUGAAACUAGGUAGCUAGAAUCUUGGAGAGGUCAGUGGAAUUCCGAGUGUAGAGGUGAAAUUCGUAGAUAUUCGGAAGAACACCAGUGGCGAAGGCGACUGACUGGACAAGUAUUGACGCUGAGGUGCGAAAGCGUGGGGAGCAAACAGG
rnacentral:rRNA from 1 species